rnacentral:rRNA from 1 species
AAUCAACGCUGGCGGCGUGCCUCAGACAUGCAAGUCGAACGCGAAAGUCCCCUUCGGGGGACAAGUAGAGUGGCGCACGGGUGAGUAACACGUAGGUAAUCUACCUUCGGAUGGGGAAUAACAAUCGGAAACGGUUGCUAAUACCGCAUAAUGCAGCGGCACCUAAUGGUGACAGUUGUUAAAGCGGGGGAUCGAAAGACCUCGCGUCUGAAGAGGAGCCUGCGGCGGAUUAGCUAGUUGGUAAGGUAAUAGCUUACCAAGGCGACGAUCCGUAACCGGCCUGAGAGGGCGGUCGGUCACACUGACACUGACAUACGGGUCAGACUCCUACGGGAGGCAGCAGUCGGGAAUUUUGGGCAAUGGGCGAAAGCCUGACCCAGCAACGCCGCGUGAAGGAUGAAAUCCCUCGGGAUGUAAACUUCGCAAGAACGGGAAGAAUAAGUAGGGGACAAUACCCCCUAUGAUGACGGUACCGUUUGUAAGC